CCGUGUGGAAGGAGGUGCAGAGCCUGGGGAGCCCCUGUAGAUCUGUGGGGACUGAGGUCCUUUCCUACCAGCGGGGAAACACAGCGGGGAACAGUGGACUCAGGCCCUCCCCUCUCCUGAUAUACAGAGGGAAACCCGCUGCUCCGGAGGUGGCUGGGCACUCGCCGGGCGGGGGUCACAGAGCCCUGUGGCUGUGGAGAGU
rnacentral:lncRNA from 1 species